CGCUGUCCCGUGUCCCUGUCCCGUGUCCCUGUCCCUGUCCCUGUCCCUGUCCCUGUCGCUGCCCGGGCCGUUUCUGCCCCGGAACGUUUCUCUCCGGCCGCGGUUCCCGCCCGGCGCGCGGCGCGGUGCGAAGAUGGCGGCGCCCAUGGGCCGUGGCGGCCCCGAGCCCGGCGCGGCUCCCUACGGGAACUUCCCCAACUAUUCCCGGUUCCACCCGCCCGAGGGCCGCGUCAGCCUCCUGCCCCACGGGCUCCUGCGCAGCCUCUUCCCCGCGGCCACCCGCCCGCUCCUCGGCCUCGACGUGGGCUGCAACUCCGGGGAGCUCAGCGUGGCUCUGUACCAGCACCUCCUGGGGCUCCAGGACAGCCCUUCCAGCCCGGAGCCUCCAGCAGCCGCGAGGGAACUGCAGCUGCUGUGCUGCGACAUCGACCCCGAGCUGAUCCGGAGGGCCCAGCAGAGCAGCCCCUUCCCUGCAUCCAUCUCCUUUGCCAGCCUGGACUUCAUGGACCCCGGAGCCAGGGAGCCCUUCCUGAGCUCCUUCCUGGAGCGCUUCGGCCGCUCCUCCUUCGACAUCGGCUUCUGCAUGUCGGUGACCAUGUGGAUCCACCUGAACCACGGCGACGGGGGCCUGCUGGAGUUCCUGGCGCUGCUGGCCUCGCUGUGCACCUUCCUGCUGGUGGAGCCGCAGCCCUGGCGGUGCUACCGGGCGGCGGCGCGGCGGCUGCGCCGCUUGGGCCGCGCCGACUUCGAGCAUUUCCGCUCCCUGCAGAUCAGUGGGGACAUGGCUGCAAGCAUCACCCGCAUCCUGACGCAGCAGUGCGCCAUGGAGCUCGUCUGCUCCUUCGGGAGCACCGCCUGGGACAGGAGCCUGCUGCUCUUCAGGUCCACGGCCCGUCCUCAGGGCUCCGGCUGAUUCACGGCAAGGAAUCCCAAAAUCCCUGUUAGGACCAGGCCGUGACUUCCCCUGUGAAUCCAGGGCAAGGAAUGUCUGUGAGUGAUUUUUUUUAAGCAGUUUUGUGGGGUGGGAGGCUGUUCAAGGAAGCGUUCCUGCAGUCCAAGUUCCUAUGUGUGCUUUCCACGUGUAUCAAGAAUAUUUCUGGAAUAUGCCCAAGGGAAUGUAGAAUGUCCUGAUUGGAAUGGCCUCACAAGGAUCCUCGAGUCCAGCUCCUGGCCCUGCACAGGACAUUCCAAAACAAUCCCAUUACUCCCAAAAUCCUGAUGCCCAAGUUGUCCAGACAUUGCCAGGCCUCCAGAAUCAUGGAAUAUCCAGAGCUGAAAGGGACCUGUGAGAAUCAGCCAUGGGACAUUGGAGUUGGAAGGGACCCACCUGGAUCAUGGACUCCAACUACUGGCCCCACACAGGACAGCCCAAAAUCCCACCCAGUGCCUGAGAGAGUUGUCCAAGCACUCCCCGACCUCCAGAAUUAUGGAAUAGUCAGAGUUGAAAGGGACCCACAAAGGACCACAGAGUCAUGGGGUACCCUGAGUUGGAAGGGACCAACACCAACUCCUGGCCCAGGACAACCCAAAAAUCCCACUGAUCCCCAAAUCCCUGAGCUCUGGCUUCUCGGGGCUGUCCCCAUUCCCUGGGGAGUUGGUCCAGUGCCCAACACCCUCUGGAUGAGGGACCUUUUCCCAAAAUGCAUCCAAAACUCCCCCAGGACUGGGGUGAGGACAAUCCCCUCCCUGACCCAGCGCCCCUGGCUCAGCUCUCCCGGGACAGGCGUCCAUCCCUAAUGCUCCAUGCUCCUGCUGCCCAGGAAGGUGUUGGGACUGGAGAGAUGGGAACAGCUCUGGGAUACAGAGAUGGGAGAGCCUGGAGGAGAUCCCAUGGAUCCCAGCUGCAGGUGAAUUGCCUCUCUGUGGGCAAGGGCCCACUCUUGCUGCUGCACUAGGAUUUCACCAGCUUGGGAGCGCUGGGGUGAAGGAGAUUUUGGAACCCUUGGAGCUGAUUCUGAGCCAGAUAAAGGCCUGCGGAAGAACGCCGGGAAUUGUUGGGCAUUUUUGGGGACGCUGCAGCGGCCUCACCUGCCCGGCAGAGGGAGCCCGGAGCUCGUUCCUGCCGCUCCAGGUGUGCGGAUCCCGGGCUGCGCUCCGGGACCGAUUCCCGCUGCUCUUCCCCAAAUCCCCGCGGCUCCAGCACCCCGGGAUUUGCCCCUGGGAUGUCUCACGUCCGAGACCUCCAGGACAUCUGACAUCUGAGGCUCCAGGCGGGGAUGGGAUCAUCCUUGGGAGCGGCUGGAGCUGAUAAGGGAUUCCUGAGUGGCCUGGCAGAUAAGAGGGAUAAAUAUCCCUUGAUCCCACAGGUCUCCUCAGCAGCUCCCAAAUCCCCGUGGGGAAUGUGCCCUGGCGUGCCGGGGGUGACUGAUUGAAGGGGAUCACUGGAAUCGGCCAUAAAACACCAUUAUUGAGCCAUAAAUAUGGGGAUGCUGUUAAUUAUCCCAUUUAUUAGUUAAUUAAAAUCCCUAACCCUGUUUUUCUCAGCAAUCCUCAGGCCCUGAUCCAUUUUUUACAUGAAUCAGAGGAGGUGAGCGAUACAUCCACCCCGCCAAGCACCCUCUAACCAUCACACAACCAUCCCUUUUUCCAUGAAACCCGAGCUUUUCCAUCUUCCCCACCACCCCCCACCCAAAUUCAGUAUCCUUUCAGUCCUUAGGAAUUUUUAGGAAGCAGCCAGGUGGGAUUUUGUCGCAUUUUGAGGCAAAACCAGGGAUGUGACAAUCCUGGCACUUUCUGGGGCUGCCCUUCACCACUGCAUCCUUCUCUGUUUCCCCUUUUUUCACAUUCUGUCCCUAAUAAAAUCCAGUGUACGUUA